AGCGAACGCUGGCGGCAGGCCUAACACAUGCAAGUCGAACGGAUCCUUCGGGAUUAGUGGCGGACGGGUGAGUAACACGUGGGAACGUGCCCUUUGGUUCGGAACAACUCAGGGAAACUUGAGCUAAUACCGGAUGUGCCCUUCGGGGGAAAGAUUUAUCGCCAUUGGAGCGGCCCGCGUCUGAUUAGCUAGUUGGUGAGGUAACGGCCCACCAAGGCGACGAUCAGUAGCUGGUCUGAGAGGAUGAUCAGCCACACUGGGACUGAGACACGGCCCAGACUCCUACGGGAGGCAGCAGUGGGGAAUCUUGCGCAAUGGGCGAAAGCCUGACGCAGCCAUGCCGCGUGAAUGAUGAAGGUCUUAGGAUUGUAAAAUUCUUUCAGCGGGGACGAUAAUGACGGUACCCGCAGAAUAAGCUCCGGCUAACUUCGUG
rnacentral:rRNA from 1 species